rnacentral:rRNA from 1 species
UACAGAGGUCCCAAGCGUUGUUCGGAUUCACUGGGCGUAAAGGGUGCGUAGGCGGUUGGAUAAGUCUGAUGUGAAAUCUUCGAGCUCAACUCGGAAACUGCAUCGGAAACUAUCCGGCUUGAGGGUUGGAGGGGAGACUGGAAUUCUCGGUGUAGCAGUGAAAUGCGUAGAUAUCGGGAGGAACACCUGUGGCGAAAGCGGCUCACUGGACCACAACUGACGCUGAGGCGCGAAAGCCAGGGGAGCAAACGGG